AGUGAACGCUGGCGGUAUGCCUAACACAUGCAAGUCGAACGGCAGCACAGUAAGAUCGUGCUCUUACUGUUGGCGAGUGGCGGACGGGUGAGGAGUACAUCGGAAUCUACUUUUUCUUGGGGGAUAACGUAGGGAAACCGACGCUAAUACAGCAUACUUCGUACGGGUUAGAUCAAGGGAGCUUCGGGGUUUUCGCGUUUCAAUUAGCCGAUUCCGGAUUAGCUAGUUGGGGUGGUAAAGGCCCACCAAGGCAACGAUCCGUAGCCGGUCUGAGAGGAUGAUCAGCCACACUGGAACUGAGACACGGUCCAGACUCCUACGGGAGGCAGCAGUGGGGAAUAUUCCGCAAUGGGCGAAAGCCUGACCCAGCAAUGCCGCGUGGGUGAAGAAGGCCUUCGGAUCGUAAAGCCCUUUUAUUGGGAAAGAAAAGAAGUAGGUUAAACCCCCGAUGUCUUGACGGUACCCAAAGAGUAAGCACCGGCUAACUUCGUG
rnacentral:rRNA from 1 species